AGCAGCCGCGGUAAUUCCAGCUCCAAUAGCGUAUAUUAAAGUUGCUGCGGUUAAAAGCUCGUAGUUGAAUUUCGGGAUCAAUAUGUCGGUCGUGCCUCGGUACGCACUGGCUUAUUGGUUUCUCCCUUCUGACGAACCAUGAUGUCAUUAAUUUGGUGUUUUGGGAAAUCAGGACUGUUACUUUGAAAAAUUGAGUGUUUAAAGCAGGCUCACGCUUGAAUACAUUAGCAUGGAAUAAUGAAAUAGGACGUUUGAUUCUAUUUUGUUGGUUUCUAGGAUCGACGUAAUGAUUAAUAGGGAUAGUUGGGGGCAUUAGUAUUCAAUUGUCAGAGGUGAAAUUCUUGGAUUUAUUGAAGACUAACUA
rnacentral:rRNA from 1 species